ensembl:lncRNA
GUGAGGGCUCUGCCUCCUUCCAGCAGAAACAGCCGAGUGAGGCUCAGCGCUGCUCCUCCAGGUGGGACCGCAGUGGGAUGUCAGCUAUUUUGCUUCACUGAGCAGCACAUUUCAAAACACAAAGUGCCUGCAGGGGUUGCCUCAUCGCAUGUCCUUAUCAGCUGCAGAAACGGAGGAGCCAAGAGCAACUUGGAGGCAGAGAGAUGCUGAACUCAAGGAGUGCUGAAGUUCCUUCUCAGACCCAAAUGAGGAGCCCGGAGGAUUUCAGCCACUGCUUCCUGCAGCGAUCCCAUUGUGUCCACUUGCAGCAUGCAAAUCUCAGAGAGCUGCUGUUCCUUACAGUGCUAUUACAUCACCCACCUCUCCAACAGCCCUCAUACUGACCCACUCUGAUCCAUGUUAUUUUAUGGGCACUGGCUUGUGCUGUGGUGUCCAGAAGUCCCAAACCUCCCCUGUGCAUCAAAGUGAAUGAACACCACAGAGAAAAGGCAGCCCUUGCCCUAAAAAGUGCUCACUUUUCACUCACCUCUAAAUCUAUCUGGGCUUUAAUCUCUUCUUUUUCACCGGUUUCGGUACAACACCCACCAUGCUCAGACAUGGCAGUGGCAGCAGAGGCUCAAGGAGGCAAUAGGCACAGCCACCAGCGAGAUGAGGCGUGCUCUGUGUGUUCUCAGACAGCAGCUUCAAAUGUGACGAUGUCUGAGAACGGCACUGCUACAGAAAAGGCUCCCUGUGCUCUCAGGGACCACCAGGAGGAGAUGGCAGCACCUGAUCCCACUGCCUGAGACCCAGCAUCGAAAAUGAGCACUGCUACGACCUCUUGGUUGGUGCUGUGUCAGCUCAGACCCUGCAUCGGGCACCGAAUGGCAGCCCGUGGGAGCGUUGCUUUCGUAGAGGUUGGAGUUUCAGUGGUUUCUAACGACUUGUUCGGUUGAUACCAAAGUGUGGAGGAGUUAAAAAGUCAGCUGUGAUCUUGGCAAACCCAACCAAACAGGCCGAGGAAGUGCCAGUUCACAGAGCAGAGCACAGCCCAUGCCAUGCCCCGAGGAUGACUCUUCACACCCCUGUUGCUAAGUUAAGGGUCUGAGAGUGUAUUUUUUUUUCCUCCUUAAAGUCAUAGAAUCACAGAAUGGCUGGGUUGGAAAGGACCUUACAGACCAUCCUGUUCCAACCUCCCUUUAGACCAGGCUGCCCAAAGCCCCAUCCACGGCCUUGAGCACCUCCAGGAAUGGGGCACCCACAGCUCUCUGGGAAGCCUGUGCCAAUGUAAUGGCAUAAUGAAAAUACAGUAAAACAUUUAAUUCCAAGAGAAGGAUAAUACAGGGAAGUAGCUGCUUUUGCAGACAUCUCUAUGGAGUCAAGAGUCCUACUGAAGCUUUCCACCAAUCUCUCAAAUAAAACCCUCAUUUUUAUCUGUACAUUUCUCUGUCUCCAGAGGCUGCCUUCUCUCCUGUCCUAGUUUACCUAAGAAGUGAACUGAAUGUCCAGUUAGAAUAAAUGAAGAACUAAUGUUCAUUCGCUUGAUUUAAUACUUUGGUACUACCUUGACUGGACCCAGCUACAAACUGUGAAGGCAUCAUGAAGCAUUAACAAUACUUCAUUUCAGUCAUUACCACAUUGAAGUGUUCUGAGCAUCUCAGAAAGGCAUCUUUGGACAUGGUAUGAUGGGCGAACGAGCAUCUACAAAGAUCUGGGAUACAUCUUCUCCAUGAAAUGCCAUUUCUAUGCCACAGUUCCCAGGUUGGGAACCCAGAAAAAGGGUGGAUUGAGUAUACAUUAGUGAAAAAGAAAGAAACAAAGAAAACCAAAACAAGAGCUGGGGUGAGAGAGGUGGGGACCUUCGUCUCUUGAAGAUUCUUCUGCAGAUGGCUUCAGUUUCAAAAUCACUGAUGUCCUUUACUACUGUCCACAGCCCCUUGAGGUUUACUGAUGUGCUGUUAAGCUGCUGAAGCUAAAAGCAGCACUCUGUACAGAUGCAGCCACAGUUACGGCUUUGAAAUGAGCGAACAGAGCAACAACAAAGAACAGGAGCUCUGGGCUCUGAAACACUGCUCAGAGCACGAAGGCAGUGAAAAAUAAUGCUUUGUUAACUUCUUGUUUAGGAAAAAAGCAGAACACUUCCUCUAAUGACACAUUCACUGACAGUGGUGCUUUGAUGACUCCUUCACACUGGUGAAUCAUGGAUCUAAGUGCAGGGACAAACUGUUCCUGUCCAAAGGCCGCCAGCCUGGUGGUUCUCUGCCACCCAACAGAAAGUGCUGCUCUUCCUCCUGCUUCCUAACACACCAUCGCCAUCAGAAAUCCAGCUGAGCCAACACUGGCAGCUCUGAUCAGCCCAUGGUCACUGCAACGCCGAGCUGUCCCAGGAGCUCGCCAGGCUUCCUUUCACCGCGCUCCUCCUGAGGCAGCUCAUACGGUUGGACAUUUCCCUUUGCAGGCAGCUGUUCUUUCCAAAUUCCUUACAUUUUAGAUUAUAUACCCUCAAUUUUGAUCUUUUGCUUUAAAAACACUUUCAUUUGAAGCUUAAUAGCAAAGGCUCAGUGCAUCUGCCAGAGUUCCUGGCACAGCCAGUGUCCUGCAGGAGCAAUUACUUUCCAGUGAGUCUCUAGAAUUGCUUAUUUACUUUCACUCGUAUGCCAAAAAUACUUUAAAAUCAGGACAGUUUUUUCCAGUUACACAAUCACCAGAAAUAUCUUGAAUCCAUACGCUUCCACUGUGGUUCAAUAGUUAAUCUGAAAGCAGUCAAAACAAUUCAUAAGGUAUGCAAAGAUCGCCCUGUCUCGGGAUGAAGGCUUCAGAAGCACAGCUCCGUGUGCUCACGUCAACGAAGGCCACAAAGCCAAAUCAGUUCCCACCCCAUUAUAACCACACAGGGAAAAGCAACUGCAAAGCACCUUCCUGAGCAGCACCAUCACAGCCACUCACUUCUACAGAGCCCUUCUUGUCUAUCCAUGUUGACUUUAUUUACUAUUCUUGACAAAACAACACAACAUUGGACUUCUGACAAGCCAUGAGAUUUAGGAUACCAAUCCACGGGAGCUUUUCAAUAAAUUAUAGUUAAUUAAGAUUGUUGGUGAGCGACAGUGGCUGCUCCUACUCCUUUUGAUUCACCAAAAGCACCGGUAAAACGUAGUUUUUGGCUCCCCUGGUUUAAAAAUCAGAGCCUCUCCCCUCCCUGCCCCGGGGGCACAGGUAAGGAAGCACACAACACCCACAACACCAACUUCUGAAGCAUCUCCUCAAAGCACUCUUUGCAAAUUGAGGCGCCAUUCGUUCUCCUUACUCAUGCAUAUUUUAAAUUCCCUUUUAAGUUUCAACGGUUUGCAUGGGUGUAAUUCGGAGCAGACUGGGGCCUUACAUAUUUUGCAUACCAACUAGUUAUGUGAGCCCAAUUUCUGAAAAAGAGAUUAUAUGAGCAUUAUGAUGCAGCUGAGGAGUAACCACUGGAAAAAAAAGUACAAGAAAGCCAGAAGGAUUUGCUUUUUAAUUUUAAGCGCAUGUUCACAAAUGAAAGUGAGAAUUGUGCCCAUCAACAAUGGCCGGAACAGAAUCAGCCCUUCUCCAAACCUACUGAGGAACCAUCGUCUUAAUGUGUAGGUUUAAGUUACUGGCACUUUCUGCUUUAUGGAUAUAUAUGGCAUCUAGACUUUAAACGAUAUUGCAAAAGUAGAAAUAGCACGAUAAACCUUCAAAGCUGAAAUAAAAAAGAACCUGUGUUUUAACUUAGCGCUGAGUAUUUAUACAGCCGGCACCGUUUAGUCCGGCAUGUUUGAGCGAGCGCAAGUCUGUGGUUGCAGCUCUGUGUAAAAAUAUUGCAGCCUGCUCCUGCUUUAGGAGCUAAACUUCAGUUCCCAAUAGCUCCCUCUGUAAUUCUCUUUCCAAAUAAAAGGAAGAGCUAUUCCUGGCUCGUAACGGUGUAUUUCUG